CACUGAGUAUAAUACUAAAUAUAAACUCAGGCCACUGGAUUCAUCAGCAUUUUCCCAACAUAAAACAGUUGGGAAAAAGGAGAAUACUGGGUUCACAGAAGGCUCUGAUCUGAAACCCAUCACCUUCCACCACUCAUCGGCAUAUCGUGGUGACCAACCGGGGUACUGCACAGACCGGCCAACUGGAAUCUCCAUAACAAAAUCAGACUAUCUACCAUCUGGAACUCUACAUGGAGAUGAAUUUCUGCCUGCAAUAGCAAAUAGAUCUGAUAGAGGCACCGGUUUCACAAGCAAAGUCAGACUGUCAUUGGACACAGCUCAACCAAGUGAACUUCAAGAUCUUCCUGCUGAUAAGAUAGGAAAGCUAAAGAAGGAAGACCCAGUUGAAUAUCUUCACAGAACUCAUCUUAAUGAACCAUGCAGUAUCAACACCCUGACAUACACAAAACCAGAGCAUAGACCAU